rnacentral:rRNA from 1 species
ACGAACGCUGGCGGCGUGCUUAACACAUGCCAGUCGAACGGUGAAGCGCCUUCCUUUUUGGUGGGUGUGGAUGAGUGGCGAACGGGUGAGUAACACGUGAGUAACCUGCCCCCUUCUUCUGGAUAACCGCAUGAAAGUGUGGCUAAUACGGGAUAUUCUGGGUCUGUCGCAUGAUGGGUCUGGGAAAGAUAUUGUUUCGGUGGGGGAUGGGCUCGCGGCCUAUCAGCUUGUUGGUGGGGUGAUGGCCUACCAAGGCGGUGACGGGUAGCCGGCCUGAGAGGGUGGACGGUCACACUGGGACUGAGACACGACCCAGACUCCUACGGGAGGCAGCAGUGGGGAAUAUUGCACAAUGGGCGCAAGCCUGAUGCAGCGACGCCGCGUGAGGGAUGGAGGCCUUCGGGUUGUGAACCUCUUUCGCCAGUGAAGCAGGCCUGCCUCGUUUGUGGGUGGGUUGACGGUAGCUGGAUAAGAAGCGCCGGCUAACUACGUG